rnacentral:SRP_RNA from 1 species
GCCGGGCGUGGUGGUGCACGCCUGUAAUCCCAGCUACUCGGGAGGCUGGGAUAGGAGGAUCACUUGAACCCAGGAGGCUGAGGUUGCAGGGAGCUGAGAUCAUGCCACUGCACUCCAUCCUGGGUGACACAGUGAGACUCUGUCUA